rfam:Bacillus sp. 2_A_57_CT2 genomic scaffold supercont1.16, whole genome shotgun sequence.
AAUAUAAUAACAUUUGUGCCGUAGACAGCAGGUGCUUAAUUGCUUAAUUUCCUGCCGAGGUAUUACGAUAGAAUUGCUUUUUCUUGCUAUUGUAUACUUCCUCCAUGUCUGCAAAGUCGUGGAGGUUUUUUAUUGGACGG